AAACUAACAAGGAUUCCCCUAGUAACGGCGAGUGAAGCGGGAUGAGCUCAAAUUUAAAAUCUGGUGUCCUUUGGGCAUCCGAGUUGUAGUCUAGAGAAGUGUUUUCCGUGUUGGACCAUGUACAAGUCUCCUGGAACGGAGCGUCAUAGAGGGUGAGAAUCCCGUUCUUGACAUGGACCCCCAAUGCUAUGUGAUGCACUCUCAAAGAGUCGAGUUGUUUGGGAUUGCAGCUCAAAAUGGGAGGUAAAUUCCUUCUAAAGCUAAAUAUUGGCGAGAGACCGAUAGCGAACAAGUACCGUGAGGGAAAGAUGAAAAGCACUUUGGAAAGAGAGUUAAACAGUACGUGAAAUUGUUAAAAGGGAAACGAUUGAAGUCAGUCGCGUUUAUUUGGACUCAGCCUUACUUCGGUUUGGUGCAUUUCCUUAUAAACGGGCCAACGUCAAUGUUAGUCGCUGGAAAAAGGUAUAAGGAAUGUGGCUCUUUCGGGAGUGUUAUAGCCUUGUAUCAUAUGCAGUGAUUAGUAUUGAGUGUAACAGCACGCUUUAGCGGUGCUUGUGUUGGCGUAAUGGCUUUAAACGAC
rnacentral:rRNA from 1 species